GAUGAACGCUGGCGGCGUGCCUAAUACAUGCAAGUCGAGCGAAUGGAUUAAGAGCUUGCUCUUAUGAAGUUAGCGGCGGACGGGUGAGUAACACGUGGGUAACCUGCCCAUAAGACUGGGAUAACUCCGGGAAACCGGGGCUAAUACCGGAUAACAUUUUGAACCGCAUGGUUCGAAAUUGAAAGGCGGCUUCGGCUGUCACUUAUGGAUGGACCCGCGUAGCAUUAGCUAGUUGGUGAGGUAACGGCUCACCAAGGCAACGAUGCGUAGCCGACCUGAGAGGGUGAUCGGCCACACUGGGACUGAGACACGGCCCAGACUCCUACGGGAGGCAGCAGUAGGGAAUCUUCCGCAAUGGACGAAAGUCUGACGGAGCAACGCCGCGUGAGUGAUGAAGGCUUUCGGGUCGUAAAACACUGUUGUUAGGGAAGAACAAGUGCUAGUUGAAUAAGCUGGCACCUUGACGGUACCUAACCAGAAAGCCACGGCUAACUACGUGCCAGCAGCCGCAGUAA
rnacentral:rRNA from 1 species